AGGAUAAACGCUGGCGGCGUGCAUGAGACAUGCAAGUCGAACGGACACUUGGGGCUUGCUCCAAGUGUUAGUGGCGGACGGCUGAGUAACGCGUAGGUGACCUGCCCCGAAGUGGGGAAUAACUGCCCGAAAGGGUGGCUAAUACCGCAUGUGGUGGUGUGUUCAUUCACACCAGUAAAGCCGCAAGGCGCUUCGGGAGGGGCCUGCGUCCGAUUAGCUCGUUGGUGGGGUAACGGCUCACCAAGGCGACGAUCGGUAGGUGGUCUGAGAGGACGAUCACCCAGACUGGGACUGAGACACGGCCCAGACUCCUACGGGAGGCAGCAGUCGGGAAUUUUGCGCAAUGGACGAAAGUCUGACGCAGCAACGCCGCGUGAGGGAUGAAGGCCUUCGGGUUGUAAACCUCUUUAUCAGGGAAGAUAGUGACGGUACCUGAUGAAUAAGUCACGGCUAACUACGUGCCAGCAGCCGC
rnacentral:rRNA from 1 species